UACGUAGGGUGCAAGCGUUAAUCGGAAUUACUGGGCGUAAAGCGUGCGCAGGCGGCUUUGCAAGCCAGAUGUGAAAUCCCCGGGCUUAACCUGGGAACUGCAUUUGUGACUGCAUGGCUGGAGUGCGGCAGAGGGGGAUGGAAUUCCGCGUGUAGCAGUGAAAUGCGUAGAUAUGCGGAGGAACACCGAUGGCGAAGGCAGUCCCCUGGGCCUGCACUGACGCUCAUGCACGAAAGCGUGGGGAGCAAACAGG
rnacentral:rRNA from 1 species